rnacentral:rRNA from 1 species
GGAAAGGCGCGCGAUACAGGGUGACAGCCCCGUACACAAAAAUGCACAUGCUGUGAGCUCGAUGAGUAGGGCGGGACACGUGGUAUCCUGUCUGAAUAUGGGGGGACCAUCCUCCAAGGCUAAAUACUCCUGACUGACCGAUAGUGAACCAGUACCGUGAGGGAAAGGCGAAAAGAACCCCGGCGAGGGGAGUGAAAAAGAACCUGAAACCGUGUACGUACAAGCAGUGGGAGCACGCUUAGGCGUGUGACUGCGUACCUUUUGUAUAAUGGGUCAGCGACUUAUAUUCUGUAGCAAGGUUAACCGAAUAGGGGAGCCGAAGGGAAACCGAGUCUUAACUGGGCGUUAAGUUGCAGGGUAUAGACCCGAAACCCGGUGAUCUAGCCAUGGGCAGGUUGAAGGUUGGGUAACACUAACUGGAGGACCGAACCGACUAAUGUUGAAAAAUUAGCGGAUGACUUGUGGCUGGGGGUGAAAGGCCAAUCAAACCGGGAGAUAGCUGGUUCUCCCCGAAAGCUAUUUAGGUAGCGCCUCGUGAAUUCAUCUCCGGGGGUAGAGCACUGUUUCGGCAAGGGGGUCAUCCCGACUUACCAACCCGAUGCAAACUGCGAAUACCGGAGAAUGUUAUCACGGGAGACACACGGCGGGUGCUAACGUCCGUCGUGAAGAGGGAAACAACCCAGACCGCCAGCUAAGGUCCCAAAGUCAUGGUUAAGUGGGAAACGAUGUGGGAAGGCCCAGACAGCCAGGAUGUUGGCUUAGAAGCAGCCAUCAUUUAAAGAAAGCGUAAUAGCUCACUGGUCGAGUCGGCCUGCGCGGAAGAUGUAACGGGGCUAAACCAUGCACCGAAGCUGCGGCAGCGACGCUUAUGCGUUGUUGGGUAGGGGAGCGUUCUGUAAGCCUGUGAAGGUGUGCUGUGAGGCAUGCUGGAGGUAUCAGAAGUGCGAAUGCUGACAUAAGUAACGAUAAAGCGGGUGAAAAGCCCGCUCGCCGGAAGACCAAGGGUUCCUGUCCAACGUUAAUCGGGGCAGGGUGAGUCGACCCCUAAGGCGAGGCCGAAAGGCGUAGUCGAUGGGAAACAGGUUAAUAUUCCUGUACUUGGUGUUACUGCGAAGGGGGGACGGAGAAGGCUAUGUUGGCCGGGCGACGGUUGUCCCGGUUUAAGCGUGUAGGCUGGUUUUCCAGGCAAAUCCGGAAAAUCAAGGCUGAGGCGUGAUGACGAGGCACUGCGGUGCUGAAGCAACAAAUGCCCUGCUUCCAGGAAAAGCCUCUAAGCAUCAGGUAACAUCAAAUCGUACCCCAAACCGACACAGGUGGUCAGGUAGAGAAUACCAAGGCGCUUGAGAGAACUCGGGUGAAGGAACUAGGCAAAAUGGUGCCGUAACUUCGGGAGAAGGCACGCUGAUAUGUAGGUGAAGUCCCUCGCGGAUGGAGCUGAAAUCAGUCGAAGAUACCAGCUGGCUGCAACUGUUUAUUAAAAACACAGCACUGUGCAAACACGAAAGUGGACGUAUACGGUGUGACGCCUGCCCGGUGC